CUCAAUUUUCCAAGCCACGUCAAAUGCAAAUGAUUGUUUACGCACCUCCUGGGCCAUCCUAUUGCUGUGCUGCUUUUUGCCUCUGAGAAGUAAUUCAUGUUUUUCUUCACAAGGACCAAAAGAAAACCUGCAAAGGCGGUUGGGGGCCAAAGAGAUGCAUGUGAGGCAGUGUCCCCCCCAGCAGCUGCACAUGACAAUCCUAUUGCACCAUGUUGGAGCGCAUUGCUCGGCUUGCCAGGAAGGGGAGAAGCAAAGAACACUCGGUACUACGUGCGGAGCCACCACAGAUCUGCUCUGCCUCUUACACCAGGCAUUGGCCUGAGGGAUGCAGGCAUUUGGGGAGGAUGCAAAACCUCAUGCAAAGUCUGCCUGAUUGCAUCUGCGCACUGAGUGCAGAUACCUUCGGGAGCGGCUGUUUGUGUUCACUCCAUGUUCUGUGUGCUACAACUGCGGGGCAUUUGGGACCUGUUCUUCCUGACCAUGGGGGCAGGACCUGCCUCCACCCCCAGCAGCUGCUGCAAAUAUAAUGAAGUAGCAACACACAAUGCAACCAACAGGCACUAAGGAUUCUGGUUUCCUACUUCCCAAAACUUUGUAAUUAGCUUUGGAGUUGGAAGACGACCUACAAAGUGAGUGGGAAUGUGGUUUUAGGGAGGUGGAGAACAGCAGCGCGGAGGGGCCCAGCUGCAGCAUCUGCAUUCUCCCAGGCUCUCCCCCAGGACACGCACGUCCCAGGGUGACGUUUCCGCUGGCAGGGAGCAGCGGUGCCUUUUGGAGGGCAACACAUCAAUAGGAUCGCCCCGAUUCAAAACCAAAUCCAGUGGCAAGCGCUCCUAUCCCACAACACAGCUGCUCCCAUUCAUAAAGCCAGAGGACGGCUGCUGCAAGCGCCGCUAUGGGGCUGGGGCUGACACCGUGCCGAACCGGGCAGUCCCCUCGCGAGCCCACACAAGCAGCUCCUCCACCUCUCUCCUCCGACACCGGCCGAGCCAACCCAUAGCGUGUGCCCGGCGCCUGCGUGUCCCCGCUGUCCCCACGGCCGGGGGGGUGAGGGGGG
ensembl:lncRNA